CCUGGGCCCGCUGGGGCUGUGCUGGGCCCUGCUCGGCACCGCCGCCGCAGCCACCAACAUCGUCCUGCUGCUCAUGGACGACAUGGGCUGGGGGGAUUUGGGAGCUUUUGGAGAGCCCUCCAAGGAAACCCCUAACCUGGACCAGAUGGCUGCAGAAGGGAUGCUGUUCCUGGAUUUCUACACUGCCAGCCCCCUCUGCUCUCCCUCAAGGGCAGCCCUGCUGACAGGCCGGCUCCCGGUCAGGAACGGCUUUUACACCACCAAUGGACACGCCAGGAACGCAUACACACCACAGGACAUAGUAGGAGGAAUCCCAGAUUCUGAAUUACUGCUUCCAGAGCUCCUGAAGAAAGCUGGUUACACCAAUAAGAUCAUUGGCAAAUGGCACUUGGGGCACAGGCCCCAGUUCCACCCCCUGAGGCACGGCUUUGAUGAGUGGUUUGGGUCCCCAAACUGCCACUUCGGGCCCUACAACAGCACCGAGCGCCCCAACAUCCCCGUGUACAGGGACUGGGACAUGGCUGGCAGAUACUAUGAAGACUUCAAAAUUAAUCUGAAGACAGGUGAAUCCAACUUGACUCAGCUCUACCUGCAGGAAGCUCUGGAUUUUAUUAGCAAGCAGCAGGCCAGCCAGCAGCCAUUCUUUUUAUACUGGGCAAUUGAUGCUACCCACGCUCCUGUUUAUGCCUCCAAACAGUUCCUGGGCACGAGUCAGAGAGGGCUGUAUGGGGAUGCUGUGAGGGAGAUCGAUGACAGCGUUGGGAGAAUCCUGAAGCACCUCCAGCAGCUGGGCAUCAGUGAGAACACCUUUGUGUUCUUCACCUCUGAUAACGGGGCUGCUCUCAUUUCAGCUCCCAAGCAAGGAGGAAGCAAUGGGCCCUUCCUGUGUGGCAAACAAACCACCUUCGAGGGUGGCAUGAGGGAGCCAGCCAUCGCCUGGUGGCCCGGCCACAUCCCUGCAGGAGGGGUCAGCCAUCAGCUGGGCAGUGUGAUGGAUCUGUUCAGCACCAGCCUCUCCCUGGCGGGUCUGCAGCCUCCCAGUGACAGACAGAUUGAUGGCAUCGACCUUUUACCUGUCAUCCUGCAGGGCAAGCUCAUUGACAGGCCCAUUUUCUAUUAUCGUGGCAACGAGCUGAUGGCAGUGAGAGCUGGGCUCUACAAAGCUCACUUCUGGACCUGGAGCAACUCCUGGGAGGAGCACAGCAAGGGCAUUGAUUUCUGUCCUGGCCAGAGCGUGGCUGGAGUGACCACACACAGCCAGGAGGAGCACACCUACCUGCCCCUGCUCUUCCACCUGGGCAGGGACCCUGGGGAGAAGUACCCCUUGAGCUUUGCCAGUGAGGAGUACCAGCAGGCUGUGCAGCACAUCUCAGGGCUGGUGCAGCAGCACAGGGCCACCCUGGUGCCAGGCCAGCCCCAGCUGAACGUGUGUGACCAGGCUGUCAUGAAUUGGGCCCCUCCGGGCUGCGAGAAGCUUGGGAAGUGCCUGAAAGCACCAGAGUCUGAUCCUAAGAAAUGCUCUUGGCCUCACUGAUGGCUGCAGCCCUGCAGAGCUGCCCACAGGACAUCCAGUGUGCAAUGCCUGCUCCUGUUGGCACUCCUGUUUACACAGGAAGGGUGUGAUGUGUGCAUGAUAUCGUCACUCGCUCUUCCAAAAGGGCCAGUGUUUAUAUUCCUCAUGCUCAGGGUUUAGCCUCUACUCCUCUCUUCCCCCAGCUCUUUCCCUAAAUGGUAACUCCAGGGAGAUUGGGUCAGCUGGAAAAGCUCUCUGGACUCUGCCACCAGCUCCAGAAUGCCCUGGAUCACUCCUGCUCCUUCCACCCAGCCUUGCUCCCUCAGCUGCCCCAACAGGAGCCACGGGACAGUCAGGAAACUCAGAGCUGCCAGGGAGCCCUGCCCAAACUGCCCAUGUUUUGUUUGCCUGUGGCUUGUUGUUUUAACAUUUCAUUUCCAUUGUGAGCUCUGGACAUCAACUUGUUGUUGCUUUCUCCCCAAAUCUGUGAGCUCUGGGUGCAAACCAGGCAUCCCUCCUGCUCACAGCUGGGGGGUUUGGAUCCAGGGAGAAUGCCCUGAGUUCCUUCCAUGUGUAGCUGCAAACAUUCCCAGGUGAUGGUUUCAGGAAAGGUGGGGAUUGGGGUUACAGCCCUGCCAAGGCCUGCAGGAGCUCCAGGAGGGCUGCAGAGGGAAUUUGGGCAAGGGAUGGAGGGACAGGACACAGGGAAUGGCUCCCACUGCCAGAGGGCAGGGAUGGGUGGGAUAUUGGGAAGCAAUUCCUCCUUGCAGGAGUGGUGAGGCCCUGGCACAGGUGCCCAGAGCAGCUGUGGCUGCCCCUGCAUCCCUCAAGUGUCCAAGGCCAGGCUGGGCAGGGCUUGGAGCACCCUGGGACAGUGGAAGUGGAGCUGCACUGGGAGAGCUUUGAGGUCUUUUCCAGCCCAGACCAUUCCAGGAUUCUGUUGCCAAUGGUUGGUGCAGGACGUUUAUGGGGGGUCUGUUCAUUUCAGGGCUUUCCUUCAUUUCCAGGAAUCUGGGUCUAAAGCUGCUCCAAGCCCUGCUUCCCAUCUGGUGCUCUGGGCUCAGAAAUGCCCCUUGGCACCAGCACUUAACUCUUGCCCCAUUUCCAGCACAUGCUCUCCCAGGAAUUCUCCUUGUGCAAACCUUCCCCAGCCUGGCUGCUGCUCUCCUGGGGAACACAGGAUCAGCCUUUGCUCAAUGCCACAGGGCAGAUCCCUGCUCUGCCCCGGAGCCUGCUCCACACCCUUCCCCAUCUCCAAUAAACCUGUCUGGAGCCAGACCAGCCUCCCCUGGGCCCUCAGGGCAGCAGCUGGAGGGAGCCUGAGCGUCUUUGGGUUCACACUGAAAGAGGGGAGGUUUAGCUUGGAUAUAAGGAAGGAAUUGUUCCCUGUGAGGGUGGGGAGGCCCUGGCACAGAGUGCCCAGAGAAGCUUGGAGCAGUCUGGGAUAGUGGAAGGUGUCCCUGCCCAUGGCACAGGGUGGAGCAAGGUCAGCUUUAAAUCCCUUCCCACCCAAACCAUUCCAUGAUUCUCCACUGGUCCCACAACAGCUCCACUUCCACCCCUGCAGUGUUUUCCACCGCACAGGUGCCUUCUCUGUGUGAUGUUGUGCUGCCUUAGGAAAAUCCAGGUGCUCUGUACCUGGAAACAGCUCAAAUCCCUCCCCAGCUAAGCUUGGAGCUGCUGGAGAGCUCUGUCCUUGUGCCAGCUCCAGGCUCCAGCUGCUUCCUACCCCCCUGUAACCCCAAACCCUCCCAUUUCCCCAUCCCAUGCUUCGUGUACCUCCCUGGUAAUCCCUGCUGUGUGUCUCAUGCUGGACAAUCCCAUUAAACUGGAAUGACAACAGCCCUUGGAUCAGCUCUUGCUGUUGCACCUCUCAGAAAUCCCAGCCAGCAUUUCAGGGAUCCCUGCACAUGUGCAAGUGCCAUUUGUUUAUAGCCCACAUUUCUCAGGAUGUUCCUGCUUGUCCUUCAAGUGAAUCACGGCAUUUCCAGCUCACCCAUAACAUUCCUCCUUGUUUAGACACAGCUCAAGGCUUGGGAGAUGUGGCCAGCAGCUCCCUCAGAGGGGAGCUCACGGCUGCCAGCAGCUGUGGGUCUGUCAGCACUGAUAAAACCAGGAGCUCCCCGUUUGCUGGGGCUGCUCCAGCUCUGCUUUGGGGCUUCUCCGUGUCCAGGGAGGGGAAUGGAGCUGGAAAAGGGCUGGAGGAUCCUGAGGGAGCUGGGAAGGGAAUGGAGAAUCCUGAGGGAGCUGGGAAGGGAAUGGAGAAUCCUGAGGGAGCUGGGAAAGGGCUGGAGAAUCCUGAGGGAGCUGGGAAGGGAAUGGAGAAUCCUGAGGGAGCUGAGGGGGCUCAGCCUGGAGCAAAGGAGGCUCAGGGGCCCUCCUGGCUCUGCACAGCUCCUGGGACAGGGAACAGGGACAGGAGCAGAGUUGUGCCAGGGGAUAUUGAGUUGAACAUCAGGGAAUUUUAUUCAUGGGAAGGGUGAAAAGCAGGGCACAGGGCAGGGGUGAUAUCCCAGCCCUGAAGUGUUGAAACCCCCUGGAUGUGGCAUUGGGGUGACCAUGGUGCUGAGGGCUGGAUUUGAUCUCUGAGGUCUUUUCCAGCCUCAGUGGCUUUGAUUCCACAGCUGUGUCCCUGGGGCUGUCAGAGCCCUGCACUCACUGUAAAAUCCAACCAGAGGAGGGAGUACCUGGCUGCAGCUCCCUGGCAAUCCUGUCAGCCCUCAAAUCCUUGUGAGGAAACAGCCCUGGUGGGGUUCUGUGCUGCUUAGGAAGAGAUCCCCAGGAUCAGAGCUGGGCCUGGCCUGGCCAAGCUCCUCAGUCCCAGAGUUUGCUGUGGCCACCUCCUCCCUGUCCCCUGCCUGCUGCUCCCUCCCCUGCUCUGUCACAGCUGCCUUUGGGAGAUGCUGCACAGCAAAGCCUCAUUCCUCAUCCCUGGAGCGAUCUCAGGACACAGAUCCUGCAGGGAAAUGCUGCACUUGAAAGCAACUGAGCCUCUCAAGCCUCCCAGCUCUGCCCCUGAGGCUGUGUUAUCAUCCCACCCUCCGUGCAGAGAAGCUUCUGAAAUGGAUGGAACUAAUAAUGGUGGAGGAGCUGGGGCUGCACUUCAGGCUCUGGAGCCUUGAUUUCAAAUCCUGCAGCGACAAAUGGAUUAUUUCCAUGGCAAAUUGCUCCCUGGGGAGCAGCAAUUUGGGGAGCUGAAUGCUGGAACUGGGAAGCUGCAGAUCAAUUCCCAACACUUGGAGCCAAGGUUAAUGCCCUGCAAACUGCCCUGAGUGCAGCAGCAGCGAGGAGAGCACGGCCCUGCCUGGCCAAGGGGGCCUCAGGAAUGAUCCAAGGGAAAAUGGGAAAUUCUGGAACCAGGGAAGUGAGAGAGUCCCAUGGAUUUGCUGGUAAAACCCAGUGACAGUGGGAUUUGAGUACAAGAAGUGGAACUGAUGUCCAAGAAGGAGGCUGUGGCACUUGGGACAGUGGCAGCUCCCAUUCCUGUCACCUCCAGCCCUUCCCAGACAUCAUGGACAGCAUCCCAAAAUUCCUUAUAAUAAGGUUGGAUACUCAAAUUCUCCUCAGUGACAACAGCUUUGAAAUAACCCCAUGAAAGAACUGCAGCAGCUGAAGCAGGACCUGUGGAAGCGAUAUCAGCCCCUUGCUGAAGGAUCCUGUGGCCUUCAGGGCUUUGAUUGAUCUUCUGGAGGAUCAUGUGAGGGCACUUUACCCGA